rnacentral:rRNA from 1 species
UGGCGUAAACAAAGGGAAGCGAAACCGCGAGGUCAAGCAAAUCCCAAAAAUAACGUCCCAGUUCGGACUGUAGUCUGCAACCCGACUACACGAAGCCGGAAUCGCUAGUAAUCGCGAAUCAGAAUGUCGCGGUGAAUACGUUCCCGGGUCUUGUACACACCGCCCGUCACACCAUGGGAGUCGGAAAUGCCCGAAGUCAGUGACCCAACCGCAAGGAGGGAGCUGCCGAAGGCAGGUCCGGUAACUGGGGUGAAGUCGUAACAAGGUAAC